rnacentral:lncRNA from 1 species
CUCAUUGUAAGAAAGCCCAAGAGUAAGCUAUGUGAGGUUGAUGGCGAUGCUUAAAAAGCAAUCGACUUACAAGGGUGUGAAAAUGGGCUCGAUAUUAAAUCGAGAAAAGAAAUGAUUUUUAUAGUUUUAAAAUGGUUUUGCAUGCAUGAUGGAUUUAAUAAAAAAACAUGGACAUAAGAAAUAUUAAAAGAAACAAAAUGCUAAAAGACAAUAAAACACUAAAAAAAUAAAAUGCUGAAAAAAAAAUGAAAUAC